ACACUUUAUAGAUACUGCAACUCAUGAUGUAUUGGAAAGAAGACAACCAACACCAAUGUAUUGAGCGAGUUCAUGGAACCAGCCUAUUUAACACUUCUAUGUUGUUCGUGGAACCAACAUAUUUGGGAUCAAGUAUUGACACUUUAGGCCUGUCACACCUAUAAAUCUUCUUGUCUGAAUUAUAAAGUACAUAAACAUCAACGAAAAAAUAGCAAUAACACUAAUGAAUUCGUCACUUCAACUAGGCUCCACAUAUUCAGAUAGGUGUCUUUUUCAUUACCAUCGAACCUGCAUUCAUAAGCAAUAGUGGUAAGUUUCAUGUCCAGAUUGACAUAAGUUCAGCAAUGAUACUAAGAAUGUAAAUAACAGAAUCACAUUAGAACCUGACUACCAUGCAUCUUGGUUUGUAACUUGAAAGCACAAUUAACAACAUGGCAGUAUCUCUUUCGUACUAGUGUCCAUUCCUAUGCACAGCAUGCUGCACACUAGUUAAACAUGAUACUGAUUCCUAUUCUUCGUAGUUAGCCACGGACAGUUAAUCGCGUCCGCAAGUUCCUAGGUCAGCAAUCAGAAGGCCUUACAGCACCGCACACACUUAUUGAUCCGGUCAUGUAGCUCCUUAGGUGUAGGCUAGCUAAGUUAGAUUCAGUUGCGUAAGGGUCAAAACUACAGUAAAACAGUACCAGCCAAACAUAUCAGUAGUUUCAUGAAAUUGUUGGAUUACAAUAGUGGAUAUUACAAAAGGAACAUCAUCCAAAUGUGAAGGCAUAAUCUAACUAUUUUCUUGACAGUGAAAUUUAACUAAAAGAAUCCAUCAACAUUCCUACAACUUAACUAAAACUUGAUCGAGGAACAACAUCCAAUAGGAAGGUCAUCCACACAACAUAACUAAAACUGGAAGCAUCAAUUAUUGUCACCAUCAUGAGGCAGAACAUCAACAUCAUCGUUGCAUUACACUUGCCACACACCCAUAUACUCAUCCAUUUAUCUUUUGAAUCUACAAAAAAGAAAACAAAAUGAACUGUUAACAAACAAUGCAUUGACAUGAUGCAAGUAAUAACAGAGGCAAGAUAUUAGUCAUGUACAAAGGUUGAGGGCCAUGCAAUCUUUGUUUCUUCUACAUUACCGAGAGUAUUACAGUUUUUGCGACUCCCCACCAAAUAUUCAGUUUUCACAAGUGCCAUAUCAACAUGCACCGCCCAGAAUUCAUUCCUAAUUUCCGCACCAUCAAGGUUAAAUUCAGGAUCACAACUUACAAUUGUAGCAAGAGCUACAUCCCUGUUAUGGUUUUUCAGGCUCUUCAAGAAUACUUUAGUUCCUGGCUGUUAGAGAAAAUCAAAGUAACCAUAUGAAAAAAAAACAGAAACAAAACAGAGGAACAUAUGAAAUGAAUGAGCACUCUUACAGAUAAUUCACUAGCACCACUUUGAGCACUCUUAGUGCUUGCAUUAGCACCUUUUUGUUGUUUUUUUGGUCUGGACAACAGUCUGAUAGCAAAGAAGAAGUAAUAAACAAAUAAACAAGCCAACAUUAUAGUUUGAACAAAAAUGUGUAUGUGAUUAUGAAAAAAUACCAGUUUGUUUGCAGUAGAAGUUUUUUCUCCCUGACGUGCACUGACAGUCUCAAGCAAAGUUUCUUUGUUCUGAACAGCAUUCUGAUAGCAAGACGGCUAGUAGAUACAUAACCAUCGGAGCAUUGUAUUUUGAACAUAUUGCAUAUGGUAAUGGAAAUAUGCCAUGUGUGCAGCAGAAUUUAUUUCCCCUUGCUGAGCACUGAAAUUAUGAUCAUAAGUUUCUUGGUUCUGGACAACAUUCUGAUAGCAACAGGUAAACACAUACAAACGGGAGCACUAUAGUUUGAUCAUUAUUUUGUAUAUAAGACUAUGAUGAUACCUUGUGUGCAGCAGAACAUUUUCCUAGUUGCCGUGCACUGCCACCACUAUGAACCAUAGUUUCUUUGUUCUAGGAUAAAAUGAUACACAUCAAGUUUUGGGUAUUGUGUAUGCAACUGCAAAAAGUGCAAGCACAACAACUUAAAGCUCACUAAUGACAAGUUCUAAAGAGUAUUUAAGUAGGCAAACUGUAUCUGAAACAGAAUUCUUGUUUGAUGCUUGCAAAUCUACAUCGUUUGAUCCACUUGGCUUGUUCUGUAAAUUAUUUGAUCGUUUUUAACAAGUUGGAGUCCAUCAACCGGAGGAGCAAGCACUCUCUACAGAUAGCAUGACAUAAAUAUUAAUUGAGAAAUAAUUUCUAGAGAUAAAUUUGAGGAAUUUUAUUGUGUACUUUGACAAGAUACAAACUUCUCUGUUUGAGUCGUGUCCAUCAACCGAAGGAUCAAGCCCAAUUGUAGCCAUUGGAUCUGAAAUUUCCUAUGAUAUGAAUAUAGAAAGGUUAGUCCAAAAAAUAAAUGAAGCUUACAGUUGUUAGAAAUUUACCUGAUUUCGUUGUCUUUCCAUUCUUCUCAUCUUCUCAUCUAGUUCCAUAAUUUCAUCUACAAAACAAUUACAACAUAAAUAUGGCGAGUGCAAUGUAAGGAAACAUAGAACAAGCCAGUAAAGGAUAUUCAAUGGAUUAAAUUUUACCUUCACUUGAUCUAGUAUAGCCUUUACAUUUGUUUUAGUUUCGAGCAAUCUCCAAUCCUUGUAGCUCAAGCAACACAAUGAUCCAUUCCUUGCAACUGAGCCAAGAAAGUCCCCAAGAUGUUUAUCCUAUUUUCCAAUUGGCUGAUCUAUGUCAUUGCAGCGAACCAUUAUCCUUUUCCCUUUUGGAAGGUUCCAAAUAUAUUUCAGCUUCCUCUUCUUACGCCCUUUUGUUUCUGCAUUUUCAGCUAAAUAUAUAAAACCAUGAACUAUACGUUACGAUGAAGAAUAAUCAAAUAUUGCAAACGAUAAGUAAUGAGCAACAAACUUACCACCUUCAUUUUCAUCAGCAUCAUCACAACCUGUGAAGCCUUCUUCAUCAUUAAUAGCUCUUUCAUGGACAUCAGAUGAUUCGACACCUUUUUCAGCAGAAUUAUGAUGUUCAAUCGGUUCUUCCAUCAUAUAUUCUUCAUGCGAUUCAACAACAUUAAUUCUUGUCAGUGACAUAUCUGCCGCAACAUUAAAAUGACCAAAAGUUUAAAUAAUUUUAGCAAAAGACAAUAUUUUGUGGUCCUACGCGACCUCAUGACAGUCAUCCCAACAGAUGUGAAGAUGAUUAGUUCAGAUUUCAGCUCAAACAAUCAUAUUUUCAAGUAAUUACUACCCCUACAAUCAACAAAAUAAUUCUGACCACAAUGUACUUGAUGUGGUAUGGUGCUUAACUUGGUGUUUGCUGGGGGGAGGGGGGGCACACAUGUUCAGGUAUAACACUAUCCAUAGACAGUAAGAGGAUGACAAGGUCAAGGACACCCAUGUUCAUUUUAUUUUCUGUUAAGGAGGUUUGGUUCAUGCACAACCAAUAUAGCGCUGAUGCUAUGUUAGUCUCAAGUCACUAACAUUUAUUUUCAGAACAAGUGCGUCGUUCUGCAGACUGGACUGUUAGUUGUGCUGCUGCAAACCAUAUUGUGAUAUUCAUAAAAAAAUUAACAUUCAAAUUAUUGGGCGCUACAGAUCAUGUUCUGAUACUCAUAAGAACUAACCAAACUAUAUAUACUACCCAACAAGAACAUGAUAGUCAGAAUUUGAGUUCCAUAAAGAAAGUCUAUGAAGAGAUUGAACUCACCAAGGUAGUAAUGGUGCAGAACUAGAUUGAAAUACUGCACGCGUCCGCACCUGACACCCCAAAAGUUACCAGGAGCAAUCCACUCUAUCUGAAGGCUCCCCAAAAUUCUAAACCAAUAACAGAGGACAACUAUCUAACACUUGGUGUGCACUACCAAAUUCAAUCAAAAGGAGAGUAAUUAGAAAGCAUAGAAGGGACAGAUCUGAACCGAGAAGGGGGAGAGAAGGCAAAAUCUUCAAGUCAUACUAGUAUUUACCUACUGUUUCUAUGAAUCGGGUGUGGGAUUGAUCUGCUUGCCGUCCUAGUUCCUGAACAAGACACGCCUCUUGUGCCAUUAACCUCAAUGGUGGAAUCGGCGGGGCGAGAUAUGAGACUCAGGAAGGAGGGUAGGCCACGAUUGAUCUACUCAAGAAGGGAUCCUUCGUACAAGAGGAGGAAGGGAAUUGCGUUGAUAUGGGCGAGGGGAGGUGGAAGGGAAGUGUGUUGAUAUGGGGGAGGGGAGGAGGAGGUUUCCGAUUUUGGUGGCGUAGUUACCUCCUCACGAGAGAUGAUGUUAAUGAAGCGCGCAUACUUAUUUUCUUCUGACUAGAAUUAGUGGCUCUUGGCGGGAGAGAAUAGAGGGAAAGGGAAAAAUUAGUGCAAAAAAAAACAAGCGACUACAAAUUUGAAGCGAAACAAAUUAUAAUAUUUUUUAUUAUCAUCUGGCCCUUGACAGACACUUGUAUAUAUAUUUGUGGCAAACACAACGUGCUUCUUCUAUGUUUGUACAAAUUCAAUGCAAAAUGGAUGAACUGAUAAUUCUUUCUAUUACUCAAAACGGGCUGAUUGGCCGACUUGCCGCAUCUGGUGUAGACGCUCAGCUUCCUCCCCCGUUGCCCACAGGCCAGCAUCGGCCACGAAUGUCGCCCCGUUCUGCCGCCCCUCCCCCUGAGGCGGCGCAUAGGCCUCCGCCAGCACGGCGUUUACGAGGACCUAGUCCAGCGAGAUGCCCGACACCCUGAACACGACACGGUGCUGCGCGUUGCGCCGGUCAACUGGCCCUUCCGCCAGCAGGACACUGCGGCGACGUUCUCGGCAACCUCGUCGAGGAGGGGCGGCUGAUGAUGCUCUCCAUCAUCUGAGGAGAGCAAGACCUUCCUCCUUCAACGGCGCAGAGGAGGGCGAUCGGCCAAAAGAUCACGCGCUUCAGACACCCCCCUCCUCACAGUCGUAACAAGCGAUGCAUCGCGGAAGUCCUGGCUAGAGUGGAAACUGACGAGAUUGCUCAAGCAAGGCGGUGGCCCUUUGUGCUGUUGUCGAGGUAGCCGUGAGCGUAGGGUGGUGUAGUUGUGGUCGAGGUAGUCGUGCGAAGAACGCCGUGGUCGAUGUCGAGUCGGGGUGGCCGAGGUCGAGGAAAUCACUGUGGAGUCGUGGGCGCAAGGAGGCGCCGGAUUAGUCAUGGGCGCAAUGGUGUCAAAGUAGUGGUGCAAAAAACGUUGUGGUCGAUGCCGAGUCAGGGUGGCCGGCGUCGAAGUAGUGGUGUCGAAGUAGCGGUUCAAGGUAGCCGAUGGGAGAACCUCGGGGCGGCAGUUAGUUGGCGAGCGGAGGAGGCGCGAUGACCUGGUUAACCGCGGGCUCGCCGAACGGGACGUGUGCGUACAUGUCGUGGGCGCGGCCAGAGCGGACUGGACCGAGUGGGGCGGGACGUGGGUUCGUGCCCUGGCGGUGCCCUGGUAUAAAGCCCUCUCUGUGUGCGGUGUAACCGUGUGUGGUGUCGAGUUUGUGAUCGGGAAAAGGCCGUUGUUGCGGCGGCGUUCGUGCGCCGGAAAAGCUCGCUGUGUCUACCGUGUGCUCCUUGUUUCUUCUCCUCCUUCUCGGGUCCGGCGGAGAUAUAGAGGUGAUCACAGAGAAGAGACGAGAGGGCGCGCAUAGGCGAGCUAGGGCUUUGGCUGCGAAAGUGCCUUUCUUCUCCCAAGCUCAAAUGAGCUCGGUGAACAGUAAAAUAAAAAAAAUCAGAACAAAUUCAAAAAAAAAUCCUAUUUUAUUUUUGGGAGAAACAUUGACAAAAGUUCUACGUGCUUGCAUAAAUUCGUCAUGGAAUUACAUUCCUGUAAGGCGUGGUAAAAAAACAAAUUCUAUACUCCAAAAUGCUUUUGAAAGUAUCGUUUUUAGAGUACCGAUUUUGUUUUUUCUGCUACGCCUUCUAGGAAUGUUCUUUCAUGAUGAAUUUUUGCAAGCACUUAAAACUUUUGUCAAUGUUUCUCCCAACAAUUUUUUGAUUUUUUUUUGAUUAUGUUUUGAUUUUUACUGUUCACCCGAGCCAAAAUUGAGAUUAUCCAUUGUUAGGACAAUCUUAAAUUUCACAUUUAUGUAACUAUAUGCUUCUUAUUUCUCUCUUUUUUUUCUCAUUCUUUGUUUUUUGAACCAAAAACAUUAUGCAGCUCACACUUUAUAGAUACUGCAACUCAUGAUGUAUUGGAAAGAAGACAACCAACACCAAUGUAUUGAGCGAGUUCAUGGAACCAGCCUAUUUAACACUUCUAUGUUGUUCGUGGAACCAACAUAUUUGGGAUCAAGUAUUGACACUUUAGGCCUGUCACACCUAUAAAUCUUCUUGUCUGAAUUAUAAAGUACAUAAACAUCAACGAAAAAAUAGCAAUAACACUAAUGAAUUCGUCACUUCAACUAGGCUCCACAUAUUCAGAUAGGUGUCUUUUUCAUUACCAUCGAACCUGCAUUCAUAAGCAAUAGUGGUAAGUUUCAUGUCCAGAUUGACAUAAGUUCAGCAAUGAUACUAAGAAUGUAAAUAACAGAAUCACAUUAGAACCUGACUACCAUGCAUCUUGGUUUGUAACUUGAAAGCACAAUUAACAACAUGGCAGUAUCUCUUUCGUACUAGUGUCCAUUCCUAUGCACAGCAUGCUGCACACUAGUUAAACAUGAUACUGAUUCCUAUUCUUCGUAGUUAGCCACGGACAGUUAAUCGCGUCCGCAAGUUCCUAGGUCAGCAAUCAGAAGGCCUUACAGCACCGCACACACUUAUUGAUCCGGUCAUGUAGCUCCUUAGGUGUAGGCUAGCUAAGUUAGAUUCAGUUGCGUAAGGGUCAAAACUACAGUAAAACAGUACCAGCCAAACAUAUCAGUAGUUUCAUGAAAACUGAGAAAAUUGAUGUUUUCAGAAACUGUAAUUCUUUUAUGAAGAAACCAGGAAAAUUUUAGCAUUCAAAAUUGGAUCGAACACAACAAUUUAAAGAAAAAAGGGACUCAUUCGAACUACUUCCAACUGAUUACUCUCAGUCAAUGAAUCUAGUAGAUCUGCACUAACUUUCAUCACCAUCAAAGAGAAGUGCUGUGCCUAGCAACACAUCGAGUGGGCACUGUAAUAUGAGCCGCACCAGAGGCUGAAGCAAGGCCAAAUUCAUCUGACUAAACAAAAAACCUGAAGAUACACUAGCUUGGGGAAAGCAGAACUAUCCUAGGACGGCCAAUCUGAG
rnacentral:lncRNA from 1 species